rnacentral:rRNA from 1 species
UACGAAGGGUGCAAGCGUUACUCGGAUUACUGGGCGUAAAGCGUGCGUAGGUGGUGAGUUAAGUCUGUCGUGAAAGCCCCGGGCUCAACCUGGGAAUGGCGAUGGAUACUGGCUCGCUAGAGUGCGGUAGAGGAGAGUGGAAUUCCCGGUGUAGCAGUGAAAUGCGUAGAGAUCGGGAGGAACAUCAGUUGCGAAGGCGGCUCUCUGGACCAGCACUGACG